UACGUAGGGGGCCAGCGUUGUCCGAAGUUACUGGGCGUAAAGCGCGCGUAGGCGGGGAAGAAAGUCUACUGUGAAAGCCCGGAGCUUAACUCCAGAACUGCCUUUGAUACUGAAGAUCUUGAGUUCGGGAGAGGUGAGUGGAACUGCGAGUGUAGAGGUGAAAUUCGUAGAUAUUCGCAAGAACACCAGUGGCGAAGGCGGCUCACUGGCCCGAUACUGACGCUGAUGCACGAAAGCGUGGGGAGCAAACAGG
rnacentral:rRNA from 1 species